GUCCACCUCACUCGCAGCCCAAGCGUGUCCAGGAUUGUCCUGACACACAGCUGGUCACUGAACUGGACAUGAGUCUCACACCAGGUGUCCAUCCACUACAUUAGACAUGGAAACUGAUGGUUUGUAAUCCCCAAUCUUAGCAGGAGACAAUCCUCACACUGGAUGAACAAGCUGACGGCAUGUCCUCCUACAAAUGACAUCCCCACCAAGCUGAGCCAGACAAGAUGUAUGUCCACUGCUGCCAUAAACUCGGCAUCUCCUGAUUGUGAGGGUCUGUAUAACAGCCUAUUGGUGUGUGAAAGCCAUGGAUAAGCUACGGCCUGAUAUGCACACUGCAUUUGGAAGACUGGGUUAUCAGUUAAAGGAGGAGUUGUUUUACCAUGGUGCUUGAAAAAAUGUACUCCUUUCUUAGAAAAUAUUGUAUAUCCUUAUGCUCCAAACAAUAUGCUAGAUUAAACAAGGCCAAUAAACAGACAAUGUUGUGUUUACAUCAUUGUGUAUUAUAACAAACUUCAUUUCCUCUCAACGUUCCAUUAACUUCAUCUGUCUUCAACAAUAUGGAUUUGUAAUGAAUAAGCUGAUAUGACAACUUUAACAAGCCUUGUUAAUCAAUUAUAAACCCCUCAUUUCCAUGGCAACUCAUUACCAAUUCUAGCCACAUUGACUGCCCAAUCUAAAGUCCCACCAAGGUGGUGCAAACAUUUCCAAAAGGACUCCACAAGAUCAAGCACCAGUCCAUUACAUCAUAGCCACUGAGGAAAGCCUUUUCUUCUAGCCCAUGCCACCAUGAUAAUAGGUGAUUAAUAUUACACGGGAGGCCCUGCGAAAAUCUGACAUCAUGCAUAAAACUUCUUAAUUAGUGACGUUUGAUGGAAGGAGGAAGAACGUGUUUAUGAUUACGCAGGAUGUUGCCUAUGAGAGCUUGACGAGGAUAAACAAAAGAGAGGAAAACGUUUACAAAAUAUUCAACAGCAGGAUCUUGUUUAUGAUGACUUAUUGCAGCCUGGCUUCCAUCAAAGUUUGACCAAUGUUCAGCACCUCAC